GACGAACCGUGCAAACGUUGUUCGGAAUCACUGGGCUUAAAGGGCGCGUAGGCGGGCUGCCAAGUCAGGGGUGAAAGCCCACGGCUCAACCGUGGAAGUGCCUUUGAUACUGGUAGUCUGGAGGGAGGUAGGGGCGUGCGGAACUUCCGGUGGAGCGGUGAAAUGCGUAGAUAUCGGAAGGAACACCGGUGGCGAAAGCGGCGCGCUGGACCUCUUCUGACGCUGAGGCGCGAAAGCUAGGGGAGCAAACGGG
rnacentral:rRNA from 1 species